rnacentral:rRNA from 1 species
UACAGGGAGGUGCAAGCGUUAAUCGGAAUUACUGGGCGUAAAGCGUGCGUAGACGGUUAUUUAAGUCAGGUGUGAAAGCCCCGGGCUCAACCUGGGAAUUGCAUUUGAGACUGAAUAGCUAGGGUGCGGAAGAGGGAAGCGGAAUUUCCGGUGUAGCGGUGAAAUGCGUAGAUAUCGGAAGGAACACCAGUGGCGAAAGCGGCUUCCGUGGUCC